CCAAAAAAAAAGUCUCAAGAACCAGAACUGGGUAAGAACAGUGAUAAAGGGAAUCAAUCUAUAUAUUCAUGACUUUCUUUAAUAUUCAUUACAAACAAGUUCAAGCUGAAUAUUGGUAAAAGUUCUGAAAACUCCAAAAUCACUGCUUGCCCUGAGGAAGAGCUCCUACAUGGUAACUCUAAAGAGGGAUGAACAAAAAAGGAGUGCCCUCUAGUCUGAUGAAUCAUGUCCCUGAUUGUGAGGAGAAAAAUGUAUCUGGAGGGUCUAGCUCUGUGGCAGUCCAGGCAGCGCCUGAACAGAGGAAGCCCAUGUCAAAUGUCUUUUUAUUCGAUUCACACUCUAGGUCCCUGAAAUACACUUACCAGUCAUCUUCUAAGCUUCAUUUAAAUUAAAAUAAAUCAGACUAUAAAAAUGAUAACAAACAAGACACACAGCUUGUUUCUAACACAGAUGAUGGAAAUUUUUGUUAUGAUAUAGAAACUGAAAAUGUAAGGAACCCAGUAAUUAUGAUUGAAAUGAAAGAUGAUUAAGAGUUUGACAUGCAAAUGGAAAAAUAUAUAAACCCAAAUACUGACAAUCCCAGUGUUAAUAACUACAAAACCAUCAAUCUUGAAUUAUAAAAUGCGGGUUAUUCUUUGCCACAUAGUGAGAGAACAUCAAAAAUAUAGCUAGAAGACUUACAGCAAGAUAUUCCAAGGAAGAAUGAGGUAGGCAUGUUACAAGUAGAGUUCCUGGCUUUGGAGAAAGAGAAAGUCCAACUUCAAAAAGAC
rnacentral:lncRNA from 10 species